GACGUCGAUAUUCUACAUCAUAAACACGAUCACCUUUGGUGUUUAUGACGCCGACGUCAUAAACACGAUCAACUUUGGUGUUUAUGACGUCGAUAUUCGACGUCAUAAACCCAUUCAACUUCGGUGGGUAACUUUGGUCGGAAAAAAAUCAAUUUUUUUUUUAAAUUCGUCGAUAUUCGACGUCAUAAACACGAUCAACUUAGGUGUUUAUGACGUCGAUAUUCUACAUCAUAAACACGAUCAACUUUGGUGUUUAUGACGCCGACGUCAUAAACACGAUCAACUUUGGUGUUUAUGACGUCGAUAUUCGACGUC
rnacentral:miRNA from 1 species